CCCAGACUCCUACGGGAGGCAGCAGUGGGGGAUAUUGCACAAUGGGGGGAACCCUGAUGCAGCGACGCCGCGUGGGUGAAGGAGUGCUUCGGCAUGUAAAGCCCUAUCGGCAGGGAAGAAGCAAGACGGUACCUGACUAAGAAGCCCCGGCUAACUACGUGCCAGCAGCCGCGGUAAUACGUAGGGGGCGAGCGUUAUCCGGAUUCACUGGGUGUAAAGGGAGCGUAGACGGCCAUGCAAGCCAGGGGUGAAAGCCCGGGGCCCAACCCCGGGACUGCCCUUGGAACUGCAUGGCUGGAGUGCGGGAGGGGCAGGCGGAAUUCCUAGUGUAGCGGUGAAAUGCGUAGAUAUUAGGAGGAACGCCAGUGGCGAAGGCGGCCUGCUGGGCUUUUACUGACGCUGAGGCUCGAAAGUGUGGGGAGCAAACAGGAUUAGAUACCCUCGUAGCA
rnacentral:rRNA from 1 species